ACUUUGUCCUUGUAGCUUAAGCCAAAGCACGGCACUGAAGACGCCAAGAUGGAUGCCACCA
rnacentral:tRNA from 1 species